UACGGAGGAUCCAAGCGUUAUCCGGAUUCAUUGGGUUUAAAGGGUGCGUAGGCGGAAUGAUAAGUCAGUGGUGAAAUCCUGCGGCUUAACUGCAGAACUGCCAUUGAUACUGUCAAUCUUGAGUAUAUUUGAUGUGGGCGGAAUGUGUCAUGUAGCGGUGAAAUGCUUAGAUAUGACACAGAACACCGAUUGCGAAGGCAGCUCACAAAACUAUAACUGACGCUGAGGCACGAACGCGUGGGGAUCAAACAGG
rnacentral:rRNA from 1 species